rnacentral:rRNA from 1 species
GACGAACGCUGGCGGCGUGCCUAACACAUGCAAGUCGAACGGAGAUCUUAUGGAAUGCGGCUUCGGCCAAAUGAAGUUUGAUCUUAGUGGCGGACGGGCGAGUAACGCGUGAGUAACCUGCCUUUCAGAGGGGGACAACAGUUGGAACGACUGCUAAUACCGCAUAACGUCAUUUGGGGGCAUCCUCGAGUGACCAAAGAUUUUAUCGCUGAAAGAUGGACUCGCGUCCGAUUAGCUAGAUGGUGGGGUAACGGCCUACCAUGGCGACGAUCGGUAGCCGAACUGAGAGGUUGAUCGGCCGCAUUGGGACUGAGACACGGCCCAGACUCCUACGGGAGGCAGCAGUGGGGGAUAUUGCACAAUGGAGGAAACUCUGAUGCAGCAACGCCGCGUGAGGGAAGACGGUCUUCGGAUUGUAAACCUAAGUUAUCAGGGACGAUUAUGACGGUACCUGAAGAGAAAGCUCGGCUAAUACGUG